UGAGCUCUUGGGUGAGACAUCAAUUGCAUCUAUAACAUCUUACCUUGACAAUGCAAUCGUAUACGUUGUCUCUAGAUUUGGAGACUCGCAGGAUAGAGAUAAGGCAAGCUUUUGAAGGAGUUCACCAUGUUCCAGGAAUUGUGGAAGCUAAACUUCGUAAAACUGCAUAUGUGAAAAUAAUUGAAGUUUCUGGAUGUUUGAACAGUUGGCAUCAAUGAGUAUACAAGGAGAGCUGCAAUACGAGGAGAAUAUAAUGAGAACUGCAGACGAGUUCUUAUUACAUGACAGUUAACAUCAACGAGAAUACAAGGAGGUGGGAAUACUGGAAAUGCUUGUGAUGCUCGCCUGGUGAUGUACUGAGAUUCGUCAUGGAAAGUGGUGACAAGGGUUGCGAGGUUGUUUUCUCAACUGCAGAGUUCUCUUGAUAUCCUGGUUACUCUGGAGCUUACACCAUAGUGAGAGGCAUGGUAGUCUCAAGGCAUUUUUUAUAUGUUUCUUUUGGUUUGGCAUCAGCUCUGCAUCUUUAACAUUUCGAUUCUUUCCUAUCACACAUUGUCAGAACAUCGUCUAUAGUUUAGCGUGUUGUUGUUAGAACAUACUAGCUACCUUGGACAUGUAUUGUUCUAAACUCACUAGCUAGCUUGGACAUGUUGU